CAAAAAGCAUUCAGGAAUAGUAAAUUUUUUUGAGAUGAGGGCAGAGCAUAAAGUUAGCCUUGCCUCAGUGAGACUGUGCAAUGCCAUGUGGUUACUGGAGCAAGGGUAUUCUUCAUCAUCUGUGGCAAUGAGAACCUCACUCCCUGCAGGAAUAUAGAUGCAUCGAAGUGCAGAGAGAUCCAGUGAAGCACCAUCAGCCACCCCAGCUACAACAGAACUCAUUUCUUCUAUAUAACAGAACAGGAAGGCUCCCAGGUCUCUUCACAAAAGCAAAGGAGAAAGUUGACAGGUGGAGUUAUAGUGGCCAUUAUGACUUCUUCCAGCAUGGUUCCAUCUAUUGUGACUAUUGGAGGAGGCCAGAGGUGAAGAGGGAAAGCAGUCAGAUAGGACCAACAUUUGAUAAAGCAGUAGAAAUGGAGCAUCUGCAAGCAGAGUUUCAUCAUCUAGAAAUCUGUGUGCUGGACUCAGAUGAGGAAAUUGAGCAUUAGAGUAAUUAAAUCACGUGCCCAGGCUCACACAAAUAGCAAAUGAAUGAAUCUUGGAUUUUAACUCAGGCAAUAUAAUUCCAAAGAAAGAAAAGGAAAGAAAAGAAAGAAGAAAGAACGAAAGAAAAAGAAAAGAAAGAAAGAAAGAAGAAAGAAAGGAAGGAAGAAAGGAAGGAAAAAGAGAGAGAGAGAAACGGUUGAAAAUUGGGUGGACGUGUGGACAAUUCACAGAUUUGUGCAGACUCUGAAGAUCCUCAUCUUUCUCUCUUCCCAGCCUGAAUCUGGGAGGAUCCGAAGGGGAAAUCUAAUGAAAAUAGUUCCCUGCCAAUAUAAUUAUUCCAUUUUAUAGAUGAGAGAACGGAGGC
rnacentral:lncRNA from 1 species